rnacentral:snRNA from 1 species
AAUCCUCGCAGAAGGAAUUCCGAGAUGAAGCUGGAACGAUACAGAGAGGAUUAGCAUGGCCCCUGCGCAAUUUAGGCCACUACAUUCAAAAAACAAACAAUAUCAAA